rnacentral:misc_RNA from 1 species
ACCGCGGCCCGUACCGCAGUCGGGGAGGUUGCCGUCCUCGUCGGAGAAGGUAAGGCCGAGCUGGAUGAGCUUAAGGAGGUCAACGUUCGCUUUCAGGGUUGCAUAAUUGAAGUCCGAGCUCGUCUUGAAGUUACCGACGGGGCGGAUGACGAUUCCGGGGAACUCGGUGUCCAUGGCGACGUAGGGAAAGUUCUCGACGAUGCCGCGGAUCAGCUCGAACUCGGCGUCGAGAUUGCUGGCCCAGACCUCUCGGAUCUGGAUCGAGUCGUCGGAGGGCGGGAUCGGGGGCAUCGUAUCAAAGAUCUGACCUGGAAUCGGCGGGGAGGGGCGGAUCUGA